CUCUACACAAAGCUCUGACUGUGCUGACUUGCACAUGCCCAGAGCAAUUAGGGUCUGUUGAAACCUCAGGGCCCAGUGAGAGGUCCUGGGUUAGGCAGAAGAGGUGACCCAAGUAUUCAUCUAUGAAAUGGCCAAGACAGAGUCAAGGCAGGAGUUUGUAAACCUGGAAACAGAGCCAGAAUUCGGGGUCUGACAUUGAACAGCUAUCAAAAGAAGUCAAGGUGCUAGUGAGACAUGUUUUUGCACCACUUGGAAGAAAAAGUAGAUAGCUCCCUGAAGCUCAGUUUCAUUGCCCGGCACAAAUGUCUUGAAGAAAUGGCAGCUUUUAGGAGUGAUGGAGAAAUGAAGUUGGGCAGAUUGUGCCAGAAGCACUGGUGAGCUGGUGACAUUACUGCUCAACUGGGAAGGUGAGGGCAUAAGGACAUCUCUGGACAGCAGCAAAGCCAGAGUUCUGAAGACUGAGAAGUCCGAGAUCAAGCUGCUGGCAGAUUUGAUGUUUGCAGUGUUUGACUCUGCGACCCUUUGGACGGUAGCCCACCAGGUUCUUCAGUCCAUGGGAUUUUUCAGGCAAGAAUCCUGAAAUGGUUUUCCAUUUCCUUCUCCAAGGGAUCUUCCCCACCCAGCAUCUCCUGUGUCUCCUGCUUUGCAGGUGGAUUCUUUAUGUGCUGAGCCAUCCAGGAGUCUCUUUCCCUCACCCUAAAUCUGGGUUAUAU
ensembl:lncRNA